ACGAACGCUGGCGGCGUGCUUCACACCUGCCAGUCGAACGGAAAGGCCCUGCUUUUGUGGGGUGCUCGAGUGGCGAACGGGUGAGUAACACGUGAGUAACCUGCCCUUGACUUUGGGAUAACUUCAGGAAACUGGGGCUAAUACCGGAUAGGAGCUCCUGCUGCAUGGUGGGGGUUGGAAAGUUUCGGCGGUUGGGGAUGGACUCGCGGCUUAUCAGCUUGUUGGUGGGGUAGUGGCUUACCAAGGCUUUGACGGGUAGCCGGCCUGAGAGGGUGACCGGCCACAUUGGGACUGAGAUACGGCCCAGACUCCUACGGGAGGCAGCAGUGGGGAAUAUUGCACAAUGGGCGGAAGCCUGAUGCAGCAACGCCGCGUGCGGGAUGACGGCCUUCGGGUUGUAAACCGCUUUCGCCUGUGACGAAGCGUGAGCGACGGUAAUGGGUAAAGAAGCACCGGCUAACUACGUG
rnacentral:rRNA from 1 species